GUAUAUGAAAUUGCAGAUUCCUGAAUGGUGCCUUGCUGGGGGAAAUUUAAGGACACAAUUCAUCCAUGCUUUUUUUGGCUUUUAAUCUCCAAAUUUGCUCAAAUUUUUUUUCUCAGAUGACCGUUUUCCUAAUAAUGGGAAAAUUGAGUUGGUCUUUUCCGCUACUCCUGAGAAGAUUCAAGGAUGUGAGCACUUGUGCAAUGACCGUGGGGUGAUCGUGGACUUCAAUACUGCAGACCCGCUGAUCCGCUGGGACUCCUAUGAGAACCUGAGUGCAGAUGGAGAAGAUACCAAAGGACAGACACUGAAAUGGAUGGGAGCCCAGACCCAUCUGACUGCAGCGUACAAGCUCUGCACUGGUCCCAGGCCAGGUAAAGCCUGCACACGGCAGAGUCCAUGUGAAGUGGUCUAAGCAGAACGAGAAGUGAUACCUCUGCCCCCUCUCCUCCUCCUCCCCCUCCUGAGACACACACACACACACACACACACACACACACACACACACAUGCACGCACGCGCACAGAAUACUUGAAGCUCUUGGGGCUGCUUGUUCUUCUUGGUCCCCAGCCCCACCACAGCCUCUACUUGGGCAGGGAGGGGGGACCCUCAGUGUCUUGGCAGGAGACCUAGCCCGGGAGAAGUUGGAUGUGCUGCCUGCUUAUGUAAGUCAGUCACUUCAUUUCCAUAGUGCCGGCUGCUGGAAGUGUCCUGACACUAAAUUAGCAAAUACUAAGCAAUGGUCUCUGUAGAAUGCUGGGCCCAGCUCCUGCUGGCCUCUGUUCAAAGCAUUUCCAUCAAUAAUACACCACCUUGUUUUCUGUGCUCUUUCUAAAGACACCUUAUCUAGUAUUCUUGUUGAAUCAUUCACAUCCAUUGUGGCCAACAGUGCUAUCAGUCCUGGACGAAGCCGCCUUAACCCACAGAUCUUCCCCGGGAGGCCCAGCAC